rnacentral:rRNA from 1 species
GCAGUAGCCGCGGUAAUACGGAGGGGGCUAGCGUUGUUCGGAAUUACUGGGCGUAAAGCGCACGUAGGCGGCUUGGUAAGUCAGAGGUGAAAUCCCAAGGCUCAACCUUGGAACUGCCUUUGAUACUGGAAGUCUUGAGUCCGGGAGAGGUGAGUGGAACUGCGAGUGUAGAGGUGAAAUUCGUAGAUAUUCGCAAGAACACCAGUGGCGAAGGCGGCGACCUGGUCCUUGACUGACGCUGAGGCGCGAAAGCGUGGGGAGCAAACAGGAUUAGAUACCCCAGUAGUCCCUGUCUCUUAUAC